GAUGAACGCUAGCGGCAGGCUUAAUACAUGCAAGUCGAGGGGCAGCAUGACUGUAGCAAUACAGUUGAUGGCGACCGGCAAACGGGUGCGGAACACGUACAGAACCUUCCUUCGAGCGGGGAAUAGCCCAGAGAAAUUUGGAUUAAUACCCCAUAGUAUAUUAGAGUGGCAUCACUUUGAUAUUAAAGAUUUAUCACUUGAAGAUGGCUGUGCGGCUGAUUAGGUAGUUGGCGGGGUAACGGCCCACCAAGCCUUCGAUCAGUAACUGGUGUGAGAGCACGACCAGUCACACGGGCACUGAGACACGGGCCCGACUCCUACGGGAGGCAGCAGUAAGGAAUAUUGGUCAAUGGACGAAAGUCUGAACCAGCCAUGCCGCGUGGAGGAUGAAGGUCCUCUGGAUUGUAAACUUCUUUUAUAUGGGGACGAAAAAAGGGUUUUCUAACUCGUCUGACGGUACCAUAUGAAUAAGCACCGGCUAACUCCGUGCCAG
rnacentral:rRNA from 1 species